UGGUGAGUAACGCGUGAGGAACCUGCCUUCCAGAGGGGGACAACAGUUGGAAACGACUGCUAAUACCGCAUGAAACAUUUGAACCGCAUGGUUUGAAUGUCAAAGAUUUAUCGCUGGAAGAUGGCCUCGCGUCUGAUUAGCUAGUAGGCGGGGUAACGGCCCACCUAGGCGACGAUCAGUAGCCGGACUGAGAGGUUGACCGGCCACAUUGGGACUGAGAUACGGCCCAGACUCCUACGGAAGGCAGCAG
rnacentral:rRNA from 1 species